rnacentral:rRNA from 1 species
UCUGGUGACCAAGGCGAAGAGGUCACACCCGUUCCCAUACCGAACACGGAAGUUAAGCUCUUCAGCGCCGAUGGUAGUUGGGGGAUCUCCCCCUGUGAGAGUAGGACGUCGCCAGGC